rnacentral:lncRNA from 1 species
ACACUGCGCUGAGCACACAGAAGGUUCACCACCGGGGAUGCUGCCACAGUCUCAGGAGUAAUUUGCAUCAAUUCGAUAAACGUCUAUCUGGAAACAUCCAAGAGUCAGAGGAAGAGGAUCAUUUGGUAACAACAACGUCAGAAUGAGAAUCGAAAAUUGAAGGACAUGAGCCAAGAGGUGUUUACUGGGACACAGCCAGGAUGCUGGAGGAAGGUCCGAGAUCCAGGGAAUAACUUUGAGUGAUUGUAACGGGAGAGAAGAGGGACUCCUGGAGGUGCACAUGAGGUUAGUUCUGAAUGGGCUAACAAGUAAAAUAAGAAACAAUUUUGCACAAUACCUUGAAUGCCAUUGUGUGUUCAUGGUGAUCCAAUACUAAGACUUUCCUAUUGGUAACAGCCUGCAUUUAUAUACCUUCCGAGAUGGUAAGGGUGUCCCUAAAGAGUUGCUUGUGGAUGUUCUAAAUAAGUUUUAAGGUACCAUGAAGUGUCUGGGGCAUUUCUGGCCAACAACACAAGAGAAGGGGUAAUGGUCUAGGCAAUGGCA